rnacentral:lncRNA from 1 species
AUGUUACACUUGACUUUGUUUUUGGGUGGCGGAGGUGCGGCGCCGGUGGAGGAUGAUCCAAGGCUGAUCCCCACAACGUGCAGCCUUAAAAUCUAAAGUCUAAGUAUGGAGUAUGGUCCCCUUUUCUCCACCGUCACAUCACCUUCAUCUCAUCAUCUUUUUCUCAAUGUUUUCGGAAUCGAACUGGACGUCAAACCGGUCUUCUUACCGGUUCAAUGGUCCGACCGGUCGGACCAGGCAUAAGAAACGGAAGGUAUCGUAAAUAUUAUAAAAAUUAAUAGGGCUAAAUUUGAAAAAAAAAUAUAUAAAAAAUUGGUCCAACCCUUCAAAAAAACCGGUCCGACCGGCCGGUUUCCCGGUCCAACCACCGGGUCGUCGGUUCAACUCCGGUUCAAUGCAUUUCCGGCCCGAUACCAUGACGCAGACCGGCUUAACCUUCGAUUCCCGGUCCGACUGGUCGGUUUGGUCCGGGUCUGAAAACACUGCUUUUUCUUCCUCUUCUCCAUCAAGAAGAAAUAGCCUACCUAUCUAUCCCCAUGCAUCCCUUUCAAUAAUAUUAAGAGAGAGAAAUAAGCAUUCCGGGGCAUAACCCCCGAUGGGAAAAGGCUCCACGUCGGCUCUCGGAUCCCUCUCUCGAUACUACACCCUACAGUCUUAUAAACCUAAUUUACACUUGCUCGUUGUUAGACUCAAAUGUUACACUUGACUUUGUUUUUGGGUGUUAAUAUCCCUUUGUCCCUUUCUUUCUCUCUCUCUAACUAUAUAUAGUUAGAUAGAGAGAACGAGUGGGAAAAGGGUGUAUGAAUAAGAUUUAGGAAUAUGUGAAUAAAAUAACCCUUGUUUUUUC